rnacentral:rRNA from 1 species
AACGAACGCUGGCGGCAGGCUUAACACAUGCAAGUCGAGCGCCCCGCAAGGGGAGCGGCAGACGGGUGAGUAACGCGUGGGAAUCUACCCAUCUCUACGGAAUAACGCAUGGAAACGUGUGCUAAUACCGUAUACGUCCUUCGGGAGAAAGAUUUAUCGGGGAUGGAUGAGCCCGCGUUGGAUUAGCUAGUUGGUGGGGUAAAGGCCUACCAAGGCGACGAUCCAUAGCUGGUCUGAGAGGAUGAUCAGCCACAUUGGGACUGAGACACGGCCCAAACUCCUACGGGAGGCAGCAGUGGGGAAUAUUGGACAAUGGGCGCAAGCCUGAUCCAGCCAUGCCGCGUGAGUGAUGAAGGCCCUAGGGUUGUAAAGCUCUUUCACCGGUGAAGAUAAUGACGGUAACCGGAGAAGAAGCCCCGGCUAACUUCGUGCCAGCAGCCGCCGUAAGAC